UUGACAAAACGGAGGAAGGUGGGGAGUGACGUCAAAUCAUCAUGCCCCUUAUGUUCUGGGCUACACACGUGCUACAAUGGCCGGUACAGACGGACGCAAAGCCGCGAGGUGGAGCAAAUCCUAAAAAGCCGGUCUCAGUUCGGAUUGCAGGCUGCAAUUCGCCUGCAUGAAGUCGGAAUCGCUAGUAAUCGCAGGUCAGCAUACUGCGGUGAAUACGUUCCCGGGCCUU
rnacentral:rRNA from 1 species